CCCCAUCCCGCCUUUCUGUCUUCCCUCCCCCUUGCUGACUGAUUGAGUGUGGGUGUUGAGAGAGUGGCAAAGAGAGGGAAGAACCAACUGGACACAAUUUGGUGGUUAUUAAUUAAAAAAGACAAAAGGAAGAAACAGGGCUCAAAGCAUUAGCAUAAAGAAGCUGGCAAGCAGAAUACAUUUUUGGCUGGAAAGGUUUCAUCCUCUCCAACCAUCAAGACCAACAGAGCCAUUUGCUCACUUGCCCACCAGCAGAAUAUGGAAGACAAUCAGAAAGGAAAGAGUAAGUAAUGAGACCAUUUAAGUUGCUUGCACCAGAGGUAUACAAACCUUUCUAGAAAAAUGGAAACGAAAGAAGUCUCAUGGGAAAUUUAAUGGAGGAUAAAAAAGCAAGGUCUCACUGCCAGCUCUGUAUCACCUGUAUGGCAACUGCUCCCUUAACAUGAAAGGGUUACACAUAUAAGGUUGUAGCUUAUAUCAUAUUAUGAGAUUUGUGAAGAUAUGCAGAAACUCCAGAUGGACUCUGACUUCAGUAAUUCUCAUAUAUAAGGAUGAGGCUUUUAACCACAGAUUUCAGAGGAAUCAGCAUAAUUUCUCCACGAUCUUAUUAGAACAAAGAAAAAAAAAAAAAA